rnacentral:rRNA from 1 species
GAUGAACGCUGGCGGCGUGCCUAAUACAUGCAAGUCGAGCGAACAGACGAGGAGCUUGCUCCUCUGACGUUAGCGGCGGACGGGUGAGUAACACGUGGAUAACCUACCUAUAAGACUGGGAUAACUUCGGGAAACCGGAGCUAAUACCGGAUAAUAUAUUGAACCGCAUGGUUCAAUAGUGAAAGACGGUUUUGCUGUCACUUAUAGAUGGAUCCGCGCCGCUUUAGCUAGUUGGUAAGGUAACGGCUUACCAAGGCAACGAUGCGUAGCCGACCUGAGAGGGUGAUCGGCCACACUGGGACUGAGACACGGUCCAGACUCCUACGGGAGGCAGCAGUAGGGAAUCUUCCGCAAUGGGCGAAAGCUUGACGGAGCAACGCCGCGUGAGUGAUGAAGGUCUUCGGAUCGUAAAACUCUGUUAUUAGGGAAGAACAAAUGUGUAAGUAACGAUGCACGUCUUGACGGUACCUAAUCAGAAAGCCACGGCUAACUACGUG